rnacentral:rRNA from 1 species
AUUAGCUAGUUGGUGGGGUAAGAGCCCACCAAGGCGACGAUCAGUAGCGGGUCUGAGAGGAUGAUCCGCCACACUGGGACUGAGACACGGCCCAGACUCCUACGGGAGGCAGCAGUGGGGAAUUUUGGACAAUGGGCGCAAGCCUGAUCCAGCCAUGCCGCGUGUAUGAAGAAGGCCUUCGGGUUGUAAAGUACUUUUGUCAGGGAAGAAAAGCCUGAGGAUAACACCCUCAGGUCAUGACGGUACCUGAAGAAUAAGCACCGGCUAACUACGUGCCAGCAGCCGCGGUAAUACGUAGGGUGCGAGCGUUAAUCGGAACUACUGGGCGUAAAGCGAGCGCAGACGGUUAUUUAAGCAAGAUGUGAAAGCCCCGGGCUCAACCUGGGAACUGCGUUUUGAACUGGGUAACUAGAGUGUGUCAGAGGGGGGUAGAAUUCCACGUGUAGCAGUGAAAUGCGUAGAGAUGUGGAGGAAUACCGAUGGCGAAGGCAGCCCCCUGGGAUAACACUGACGUUCAUGCUCGAAAGCGUGGGUAGCAAACAGGAUUAGAUACCCUGGUAGUCCACGCUCU